UACGUAGGGACCAAGCGUUGCUCGGAUUUACUGGGCGUAAAGGGCGCGUAGGCGGCAUAUUAAGUCAGCUGUGAAAUCUCCGAGCUUAACUCGGAACUGUCAGCUGAUACUGAUGUGCUAGAGUGCAGAAGGGGCAAUCGGAAUUCUUGGUGUAGCGGUGAAAUGCGCAGAUAUCAGGAGGAACACCGGUGGCGAAGGCGGGGUCUCUGGGCCGAUAUUGACGCUGAGGAGCGAAAAGCGUGGGGGAGCAAAACAGGG
rnacentral:rRNA from 1 species